AUAGUGCUCUGGAAGAAAACCAAAAGUUUAUUAACUGCACCAUCAAGGAAAAAUUUACACAUAUUGUCUACUUGGUCUUCAUACUUAAGUGCUGAUCUAGAACCCCAAAACCACUGUGACUUGGAACACAAAGUGUCAACAUAAGCUGGCUUAAACAACCCUUUUUUGGCAAGGAAGAGAGCUGGAAAGGACAGAAAAAGGUAAAAGAAGAAAAGGGUGGGAGGAAGGAAAAAGGACAGUGGAGAGAGUGAGGAGGGAGAAGAAAGCUGCUGCUCUAAGGAUGCCUCUGCGGUCUAUUCAGAAUGAAAAGGGGCAUGUUUGGAGUCACUACUGUCCCUGUGGCUCAGAGGAGCGGGUCCCAAGUCCCAGUUCCAACAUGAAGACUCUGUUCCAUAGUGACACCAUUGGAACGAGAAGACCAGUUUACCCUGCCGACAGAAAUCCUCUCAGCAGAUGGCUCUGAUUGCAACACACCGAAAGCCCAGCCCCUGUAACCACACAGCACCACGUCUGAAGAUAUGUUUGAGACAGACCCACUAAUGGCAUUUUACAACCCAUAAUAAAGGCCAGUCAU